GCAAGUCGAACGAACCCUUCGGGGUGAGUGGCGCACGGGUGCGUAACGCGUGGGAAUGUACACCUUGGUAAGGAAUAACUGCUGGAAACGGUAGCUAAUACCUUAUAAUGACUCCGGUCCAAAGAUUUAUCGCCAAGGGAUCAGCCCGCGUCAGAUUAGAUAGUUGGUGAGGUAAUGGCUCACCAAGUCUACGAUCUAUAGCUGGUUUGAGGGGAUGAUC
rnacentral:rRNA from 1 species